GAUAUGAAGCCAAUUCCGCUGCAA
rnacentral:siRNA from 1 species